AUCUAUCACCUACUGCAACAUCAUGUAGAAAUUCACUAUCGGUAAAUUGAAAACAAGGGUGAUCAGUAUCAAGAAUUACGGGAGGAGGAGGAGGACAUCUAGGUUGGGACUACUUUCAACUUGCUUAUCUUUCUAGGUCGGGGAGCCGGGGGAAGGGUAGUAUUAUGGCCACUACUUUCACCGGUUUGCCUUUUCCUUUACCAAAUAUUUUUUUCAAAGAAAAUGCCAUAUUAAUUAUAAUUAUGCAAACU
rnacentral:lncRNA from 1 species